GAUGAAGAACGUAGCGAAAUGCGAUACGUAGUGUGAAUUGCAGAAUUCAGUGAAUCAUCGAAUCUUUGAACGCACAUUGCACCUCUCGGUAUUCCGGGAGGUAUGCCUGUUCGAGCGUCAUUUGUACCCUCAAGCUCUGCUUGGUGUUGGGUGUUUGUUCCGCCUCUGUGUGUGAACUCGCCUCAAAACAAUUGGCAGCCGGCGUACUUGAUUCGGAGCGCAGCACAUUUUGCGAUCCAGAUCAACGUACAGCGGCAUCCAAGAAGCCUUAUUUAACGCUCUUGACCUCGGAUCAGGUAGGGAUACCCGCUGAACUUAAGCAUAUCAAUAAGCGGAGGA
rnacentral:misc_RNA from 1 species